GACGUAGGGCGCGAGCGUUGUCCGGAUUUAUUGGGCGUAAAGAGCUCGUAGGCGGUCUGUCGCGUCUGCUGUGAAAACUCAGGGCUUAACCCUGAGCUUGCAGUGGGUACGGGCAGACUAGAGUGCGGUAGGGGAGACUGGAAUUCCUGGUGUAGCGGUGAAAUGCGCAGAUAUCAGGAGGAACACCGGUGGCGAAGGCGCCACUCUGGGCCGGUACUGACGCUGAGGAGCGAAAGCGUGGGGAGCAAACAGG
rnacentral:rRNA from 1 species